rnacentral:lncRNA from 1 species
UGCCGUUGGUGGCGUCGCCCCGGCAGAGGCCAAGCCCCCACACCGUGUCGGUGUUGGCGCCGACGACCGCCGUUGCGAACAGCGAGCGGGAGGCGUUGGCGGCGAGGGACGCGAGGAGGGUGCGGACGUUGGACUGGUAGGUGCUGUUCUCGGGGUAGUACGUGCCGUUGUUGCACUCCCACGUCACGAGCUCCGCCCUGGCGCCGGCGGACGGCGUUACCAAGGUGCAAAGUGAUGAUAGCAGUAGCAGGAGGACGGAGGCACUGCACGCCGAGCGUAUGUCCAUCUUGUGCGGUCACCACGCCUGGUAGGUGUUCGGUCGAAUGUUACGUCUUUUUUUAUAGUUGGAAGGAUGGUGAGCUACUCAACCAUGGAUGAUGAGUUGUUGUGCGAUGACUGAUUGGCCGCGUCUGCGGAUUUCGUGGACAGCACUAGAGGGGAGCCCUUCUGGUGGCAAGUGCACGGAAAGUUUCAAGCUAGAAGGAACAUUGCACUUUAUGACAUGUACAUUAUUCAACCACGCAACAUGAAAUCGUUGUCGUAUCGCUGGCACAUGAUCCAGACCAGCUUCAUCUAGUUUUGCAACGUAGUUCGUGAGCUCGAGGAAAGGUGGCCAUUGCAUGCGACCGAUGAGGGGCUCGUAAGUUUAUUGCUUCAUGUUGCUCAACUUGUUGAUUGAUUCAUUCAUUCAAUGUUGACAUACACAUUAUAUGUAGCCCGCAUGCGUUGUCAUCGUGUACUAGUAAGAGGAACGAUCAUUUAGGUGCACACACUAUUGGAUGAUGCUAAAGGGUCAGUUUGUGUGGAACGAUAUGAUCUUUGAUCCAAAACUGGUUGGACAUAUGCUUAAUUGAGACCUUGUUUUACAAGACUUAAUUUGCAUGAUAUGCAUGGAUGAUUUGUGCUAUUUCCAAUCCGAACUUUAAUGAAUAUCAUCUUGUUGGUUUAAGUUAUGGUUAAAAUGUAUGCGGCUACGGUUGGAUGCCACCCUCUCCCGUAUCCGUGUACGUGGAUAGCCCCCCCCCCUUUUUUGCGGACGGAUGAGGGAGAAACUUUGGGGGUUGUCACUGAAGGUGCCCUAAGAUGUGCAAUACUUAGAAGACAUCUAGAUGUGCUUUAGCAAAACUAUAUAAUUUUCAAUGAAGACAACAUCUUUUUUUUUGACAAAGAGACGACAAUCGAACAUAUACAAAUAACAUCAAUCAUAUGAAGUCAAUUCCAACAAUCCCAUGCACACAUACAUAGGGUUGCAAGGCCUUAGCUCAACUCAUUGAAGACAACAUAAAGAUGAAUGAUUAGUUGAUAGUAUGUCUUACAGUGAUUUUUUUAUAGAAAAGAAGGUCAAACCCCGGCCUCUGCAUCAAUCGAUGCAUGCAGCCAUGUUAUUAAUUAUUCCACAAAGGUCAAACAAGAGUAUACAUCAAACUACCCAAAUCCACCACUCACGCCUACAAACUCCAUAAUAUGGAAUGCUCUCACUCCACAUAUCUAAGACCGAUGUUGUUUCCAAUCCAUCCACAUAACGUAUCGGGAACAACAGUCGGUGCAGCACACCUAAAAGGCACACAUCACGCACACGUUUUACCAGCCGCCAUCAUCCUCGAGCCACUGACCCAUCUUCAGGAAAGAGAUCCGCAUCAUCCUUGCCAGUCCAAUCAUCCGUCGACGCCAUCACGGCGCCCAACGGCGUCACCGCCCUGCGCUCAUCCGUCCAGCGGCGAACUCCGGGAUAUCUGCCGUGCGUAGCACCUUCCAACCAGGCAUGACUCAACGUAGCAUCUGUCGGCCAGGCAUGACUUGACAACUCCACCGAAAUUCCAUGCAAGACGAAGCCGCUCCACCUCCUACCUCAGUCCGCUAGCGCUGCUCCACAAACGAUGCUCCCAAGAGAGAAACGGCACCGCAGUUCCGCCAUCGUCCGAUCUGGAAGACCAAAUCCUAGGGUUUCCCCCAGUGCCCACCACCAGCAACCGUUCAGGACCCACAUAGUGCCCACCACCACUCAGCCCUCAAGGCGACGCCUUCAGAAAGGUCACGACGUCAAGAACGCCGCCGCCGCCCACCGAAGUUAGGGUUUUCACCUGAGAGGCAAGGAGGGGGAGCAGAGGAGCAGAUAUAUACCGACGUCUUCAAAAAGAAAAACGGCGCCCUUGAGCGUCGUCGUCGGCGAGGCCGGCCUGGGCCAACCAAGGGGUUUCCCCCAAUCCGAAUCUCCUCCACCGGCUUCACCCGCAUGCAGAGCGCCGGCAAACGCCAGCACCAAGUCCGCAGGAGAGAGGCCCACAUAUAAGGGCUGGAGGACAACGGCCAGAUAUGACGCCGCCGGCCGCCAUACAGCCAUCGUCGGCUGACCAUAACCAGGAGCACCGCCCCCUGACCGGAGCCGUAACCACCAAAACCGCGGCCGCCGCAGACAACACCCCAGUCACCGCAGACGCGCCCGGCCGCCGCUCCACGCGCGACCCGCAUCCGCCAUGGCAGCGCCGGAUCCCGCAGCACCCGAGCCCGCGGGCGAACGUGGCAGAGCCAGAGAUGCCGAUUCCGCCAGAUCGAAACCGCCUGCCACCGCAGACGCGCUCGGCCGCCGAUCCACGCGCGACCCGCAUUCGCCAUGGCAGCAUCGGAUCCCGCAGCACCCGAGCUCGCGGGCCAACGUGGCAGCCGAUUCCGCCAAAUCAAUCCCGCCGCCGCCAUCCCCGGGGCGUGCGCGGCUUUGCCGGCGUCCCCUCCGGCAGCGGCGAAGCGGGUGGGAGGACGGAGAGGGGGCCGGCGGCGGCGGGAGGGUUCGUCCCUAACGGCUGCCGCACGCUCUGAUCAGACGAGCCACCGGUCGGCGGCGAAGGAAGUGCGUCCGCGGGUCGCGAGGCGGAUCUGGCUGGGAACCUCGCGAGGGCUUGACUAAUCAUGGAGAGAAUGAACGUGGUGGUAAAUAUGGAGAUGGCUAUGAAGAUGGAAUGGGAAACAACGGCGGCAAUGGUUGAAGGUGGUUUCUAGUCCUCCGUAUCGCAAAUGGUGCUCUCUCUGUUGAAAUUUUGAUGCGGUGGACGUCUUGUUAACUUGGUGGACAUCCCGGUGCUGACGGCAUGUGGUAUGACCGGCGGUACGAGCGGGAGCGCUUGUAUUAUGCGGCGUCUUGCGCUCUAGCUAGAUUGCUACUUGUUGUGCCUCCUGUUAACUUGCCUCUUCCGUCAAACUUUGUAUUCCUUCUAUGCGAUGAUAUUAUUUCAUGUUUGGGCCCAUUUCCUAUGAAAACACAUGAAACAAAUGAUUUCAAAAUUUCUAAAGUGGUGGCCCACAUGCCCCACAAGCUCAAGCUCCACCCCUACCCUAGGGUUAGCCGCCUGCACUUGUGUCCACCUCGUAAGUGAGUUGGGGCUCUCUGGAUAAAAAAUGUAUUUAUAUUUCAGCCCAAUAACUAAGGAUCACUGGAUAUUAAAGAAAUGGUGGAGGGCUCCAAAAACAGGUUGUGGAACACAGAAGAAAACAUCCCUUCCGUGUCGUGCACACAUGGAGGACACGGAGGAUUACCGAUGUAGCACUACUAGUGAAAAGCCUAGUAGUAACGCCGGUUUUUUCCAUAUAAGUAGCGCGGGGUGCACCCGAAAUAUUUUUCUUUCAUGAACAUCCCAAAAUCAUGACCCCAAAUUUCAAACAAUAACAAUUAUGGAGCAGCAUACAUAUAGAGAAUCUAGAUGAGUGCACAGGAGAUAAUGGUUUUUCCAAGUCCAGAUGCUCAAGACGAAGUUCAUGCCCUUGAGAUGUGGUAAUAUUCUACUUCAUGCCAGAGUUUAUGGUGAUUAUCGGGAGGGAGGGCCCUAUCUUUCCCUUAUAUAGGUGAACGCGACGUAGGAUUACCUGGGCUCGAGUCAGUUUACAGUUUAUAUUUACGUAAUAUACAUGUUUUGUACUCCAAGGCGAUGACGCGUCUUUGUAUGAUUAUUACAAAAUCACUAGUUAAUGAGCACUCUUUGCAAAAGUCACUCCCAUCUUCUGAGGUUGAUACAAAUGUCGCAAUGCAUGGACAUCACUUGUUGCAACCUAGAUUUUUUCGUAUAUUUGUUUAUUCAAAAUGCUUCAUCUCUCAAACCGUAUGUCCAAAGCUUGAAUCGUUUCCAUCAUUGGAUUCCUUGCGUCCGGAUGUUCAAAAUUAGAUUUCAUGUUGAUAAAUUUCGACGAACCUUUUGCUUUGAUAAAAAAGCUGAUGAAAAAUACUGAAGCGGAAGCACGUUCGCGCAUAAUCAAAUCCGUCCCUCGACGAGAGUAAAUCAGUGUCUCUCGUGGUAGGAAAAGAAUGUCUUUUUUCCUUUUUGCGAGAGGCACGAUCAUAUCUCUUCCGUAAGCAAAUCUGUACCUUCACAAGAAGUAAAUCCGUGCCUCUUGUCAAAGAAAAAGGUGAAGCAAAUCCAUGCCUACAAACGAAGUAAAUUUGUGCCUCCGGUGAAAAAAACGUGUUAUUUUUCUUUUUGAAGGGACAUGCUCGCAAAAGCAAAUUCAUGCAUGUACGAGAAAUAAAUAUGUGCCUUAUAUAGUCGGAAAAAGCCGUGCCUACAAGAGAAGUAAAUCCGUACAUCUCGCGAAAGAAGAAAAAAAUUGUUAUUUUUCCUUUCCAAGAGACACGACCGUGCCUCUCGCAAAGCAUAUCCGUGCAUGUACAAGAAGUAAAUAUUUGUCUCACAUAAUAGGAAAAAAGUUCAUGCCUCUCUCAGAAGCAAAUUCAUGGCUCCACGAGAAAUAAAUAUAUGCCUCUUGCAAAAAAACAUGUUUUUUCAAGUCAGAAAAGGGUUCGGAAAAAAUUGGUCCAAAACCUAAGAAAAGCCGGUGAGAAACCGAAAAGGCAAAAAAAAAAUCAUCUAAUAAGCGAAAACAUAUAAAGAAAAAUAAAAAAUAAAAAUCCAAAUGAAACGCCAGAACAAGACACGUGGCGGCGGCUGAGAGCGCGCCAAGUAACGCGUGGUGCGCUCUCAACCCACCCUAAAUAACCCUUGAAGAGGCUCCAAAAAAGCGCUCUUAGAUUAGUUGCUCCGAACACUCCCAGUUGUCGCAUGGCCCAUCCUGUAGCAAUUGGGCCAUGUUCAUCCUCCUACGCGCUAUGACCUUGUCACAUAUCAAGCUCGGUAUGAUCAGGGCCGUCUCCAGUAGUUCGGGGCCCGGGUGCGAAAAGUAAAAUGCGGCCCUAACAUUUAAAAAAACAUAUGAUAACAAAACAUAAUCACCUAAUUAUGUAAUUAAAAUUUAUGUUAUUUUAUACAGUGCCUAGAAAAUUCUUAAGUAUCUAUUCAAAAUACUAAAACCAAUAGACCGACCUCAUGCUGUAUUAAAAAGCAUCAUCCAUCUUGUGUUUCUUGAAAUAAAAUCUUCAAUUAUAUCUUCAUAAUUAACCUUCUACAAGAUAUCAUUUUAGUGAUGUUGUCGCCAAACCAUUCAGUCUUUCUUGUGUCAAAGUAGAACGCAAGUAGGAUUUCAACAUCGUGACCAUCAUUAAUAUUAGUAUCUGGAGUUUGAUAUUAAGAAUUAGUUUGGGGUCCUUUCACAACAUAUUUAUCAAGAACAUCCCGUUGAGAUUGAGCAUCUUCGUCUAAUUUAUGUUUCUCCUCACGCUUGAAGGCACCAGAAUCAUACUUUCUUCUAGAAUUAGAAUGCAAGAUUGUUUCUGUUUCAAUGAAAUACAUACUCUUUCAAUUUAUUUGAAUUGAUGAGUUCACAUGAAAUAUAGACUUCUGACUUGUAUAGAUAGUUCAAAAAACAUAGAAUCAGAUAUAACCUUGAUUUUGGACUUGGACGAUAGGACGAGCAACUACUAAAAUUCUUGAAUCCCUGACUACUUCUAAACUUGAACAACUAGACAAAAAUCGUUUCAAAACAUAUUAGUUAAAUAUCAACUCGACUUUGUAAAUUGUAAUUUGUACCAAAAUUAGAGAAACUGGAUGAGCGUGGGGACGAGGGAUAGGGAGGGCACCACACCAUUGGUCUUCCGUUCCUGUGGGCGGCACCGUGGCAGUUGCGGCGGCAGCGGCUGGCGCUCGAAAGUCAAAUGCAGUUCGCCUAGGCCAUGAGUUCUCCAGUUCCGCAACACGGUCGCCAUCGGCAUCGAGCCGAUCCAGUCCGAGGUGCGGGAAGGCGAGAUGCAAGGAAUAGAAGCAGAACUGCGGAAGUUAAGGGGCUGUCAUUUCGUCUAGGAUACAAUGGAUCUAUCAUCGAUUCACCUCAGCCACUUAGGCCUCGAGCGUUCCAGGCCCAAGAAGGCCUAGCAACGAACAUAGUACAAACUAUUAUGGACCUAGUUGGGGCCCCCAUGAUUUUUGGGGCCAUGUGCGAGCGCACAGCUCGCACAGGCCCUUCAACGGCCCUCGCUAUGACAAAUAGAUGGGUGUUCGCUAGCACUUAUCAUUGAUAUCUAGUCAUGAGAGGAAUCCAAUCUCGAACCGUUUUUACCGUUGGAUUCCUCGUGACGAGAUCUUUAAAACUAGAUCUUAUGUUGAUAAGUUUUGACAAAAAAAAGUUUUAAAAAAAUCGAACAAAAUAAACCAAACCGGUAUCACAUUCCCGAGGAAGAAAAUCCGUGCCUCCAUGAGAAGUCAAUUUGUGCAUCUCAUGAUAGGAAAAAAGAAAACUUAUUGUUUUUUCCUUUUCGCGAGAGACACGACAAUGCCUUUCGCGUAAGCAAAUUCGUGUCUUCACGAGAAAUAAAUCCGUGCCUUCCAUGAAAGAAAAAAAUGUCUUUUCUUUAGGCACGAUCAUACCGUUCAUGGUAGAUAAAAGAAUGUGUUUUUUUAUUUUUACGAGAGGCACGGCCGUACCUCCAUGAGAACCGUGCUUCGCACGAAAGAAAAAAGAUCUUUUCUCUUUUUUCAAGAGGCACGGCCUAACCUUUCACGAAACUAGUCCAUGCAUCUACCAAAGUAAAUCCGUGUCUCUCGUAGUAGGAAAAGAAAAUAUGUUUUGUCUUUUUGUUAGAGGCACAAAAGUAAAUUCGUGCUUUCACAAGAAGUAAAUUCGGGCUUCUUAGAGAAAGAAAAGAAAACACGUUUUUCCGCAUCAAAAAAUCAAAGAAAAAAUUAGUCCAAAACAAGCCGAAAAAAUUCAAAAAAUAAUAAUCUAAAAGCUUAAUAUGAAUGAAGAAAAUUAAAAAAAGAAGGAAGCGACUAAAACGCGACAUGUAAUGGCAGUUGUGACGCAUUUCCAGCCCACUCUAAAUGACACUUGGGACGGCUCCUGAAUUAGCGCUCUUUGAUUAGUUGCUCCGAAGACUCCCAUUCGUCGGCCUGGUCCACCUGUAGCAAUUGUGCCUCCUACGCGCUAUGUUAUUGUCACAAAUCAAGCCCGGUUAUGACAAAUAGACGGGUGUCCACUAGCGCUUACCGUUGAUUUCUUAGUCGUUGGAGGCAUGCUCUCCUCCUCUCCCCUCCAUCCAUCCACUGGCUGGCUGAUGAUGAUUACAAACAAUUCUAUUACGUAGAAACCUGUGGCCAGCAUCGCCAUUGAGAUAAAGGGGAGCAGGUGUCGCUGUGAAUAAACCUUGCGACGAUUCUUUGGACAGAGACGACAGCCACCCGGACGUUGAGUUGAUAAUAACAUGACGCCUGAAUAGACAAUCAGUAGCCUUCUCGAUGCCCCCCUGUGAAGGGAAGAAUUUAUCACGACGUUGAGUUGAGAGAGACCCAGUGUCCCAAUGGCAUCAUCCCCCAUGUGGAGCACAGCGCGCAAUACAAAUGUGAGACUAAAAAGCAGGUCAUGAGACAGGUGAAAGCAACUGUCGUGAGAAAAGUUGGUGUACCAUUCUACUACAUUCUACAUACGUAGGCGAGUCUAUUCCCUAGCUUACACGCAAAAAAAAAAACGUCUACUCCCUAGCUAGUCUUCAAUUUGCAAUGUCCCCUUGAAUCACCAUACAGUACUAGUCGUCGAUCUAUGCGUGCAUAUAUCAUUUUCUCACAGUGAAGGGACAAGAUCAAUGCUGCUGUCACCCGAAAUAAAUGACUAAAUUAUUAUUUUUUCAGUUUGUUAAUCUGAUUUUGCACUAUCCGGUUUUCUUCUCGACAGGGCGUCCAAAACUAGAUCAACUUCAUUCGCUAUAUUCCGACUAAUAUAACCUAGCAAGUGACUAACAAAACCAAUGAAAAAAAAAUAUUCGUUCCAGAAAGAAGAGAAGAUGUGUGAUGGUGCCAAGUAGCUAGCGUACAAUCUGGGGGGAAAGCCAGUUGAGAUGGACAAGACCGGGAUACGCGCUCAAGGCAGCUCACGGUACAGGUGAAAGCAACCGUGACACUAGUUGAUAUACCAUUCUACAUAGACAUAGGCGACUCUAAUCCCAGUCCCGGUCUUUUUUCUUUUACUUUUUGCGGGUGAGUCUAGUACUCCCAGUCUCCCGCCACAAGGACAUGGCAUUACAAUUUACGGUGUCUUCUUCAAUUUUGCGGGUAAUCAUUAUGUUGAUAUUUGAUAUUUGGAAAUUGUAAUAUCAUUAUAAUUUUUAGUAACAAGUGACGUUGAAUAUCACCCUCUUUUGGAACUUAGGAUGAUCUUUUAAAAUACAUGAUGAACCUUUCUUUUCAAGUACUUGUUGAAGAUUUUUUUUCCGAAUACACGCUAUACAUAUUUUUGAUACACAAUUGUUUUUCAAAAUAUCACGAACAUAAACUUUUAAACGCGUGAACAUUUUUAAAUGUCAUGAACAUUUUUUGAAUGGUGCAAAAAUUCGUUUAAACCUGUGCAAACAGAUUUUUAACACUGCAUGAAAAUAAAAUAAAGCAUGACCAUUCUUUCAAUGGCAUAUUUUUUCUAAAUGUACGAACAUUUUUUAAAGCCACGAGAACAAUAGAAGUUACAUUCCCCAAAUACUUUUAUAAUAGGCGGUGAAUAUAAAUAUUGUGGGCCGGCCCACUACUCGCUGCCCUUGUUUGUUGGAGCACAAAACAAAGCCGCGCUCAGUUACUCAAGGAAAAAAAGGCUAGCCGCGCCCAGUUACCAAAAAGAAAAAAGGCUAGCCGAGCCACGAUCUCAGCUAGCUACUGAAUAAUAAUAAUACACUAAAAUAGCAAGCUAAUGAAUAAUAUGAGUAAAAUAUUCAUGCUGGGUGUAAGAGCAACUUUAAUGGGACGACCCAAGCGGACGGCGAUUUCGUCCGUUUUUUAUCCAUUUGGAUUGGCCGCCCGCCCGGCGUCCGUCCUGUUUUAGAUAUGGGUCGACAGCGCGCCCAUCACGUCGACCCAUAUGUGUCGGCGUGGCCGGCCAACCGGCCUAUUUUGCAUGAGUUUGCAUAGUUUGAAUCAAAUAACAAAAUUUGGACCGAAUAAAAUAGCAUAUUUAUUACAAGCCGAAUAGAAAUAGCAUAACUCUCACAUAGUUUUGCAAACGAAUAAAAGAAGAUAAAUAUAUUGGUUGCCAACGUGAGCCCACGUAUGCUCAACCAAAUCAUUUUGUACUUGCACGUGAGUUUCCCAAUCACGCAUGUUUUGAUGAAAUUGGAUGAACUGUUCAAACAUUGCCGCUCCUCCAUGUUCAGGCACAACAUUCUCACCCUGAAACUGAAACCCUUGAUCGUACAGAUGUUUUGGGCGCUCGUCUUCUACGAUCAUAUUAUGCAUGAUCACACAAGAAGUCAUCAUCUCCCACGGUUUCUGCGUGCUCCAGGUAUUAGCAAUAUACCGAACGAUGCCCCAUCGAGAUUGCAAAAAACCAAAGGCACGCUCGACAUCCUUCCUAGCACUCUCUUGCUCUUGGGCAAAUCUUUUCCUCUUCUCUCCGACAUGGUUGGGCAUUGUCUUGACAAUAGUGGUCCACUGAGGAUAGAUGCCGUCAUCCAGGUAGUAUCCUUUGUCGUAGUUAUGGUUGUUGACAGUAAAGUUCACCGGUGGGUUGUUGCCUUCGGCAAGCCUAGCAAACACCGGCGAGUGCUGAAGCACGUUGAUAUCAUUGUGUGAUCCGGCCAUGCCAAAGAAAAAGUGUCAGAUCCGGAGAUCUUCACACGCCACGGCCUCUAGUAUGACAGUGCAAGCCUUGACAUGGCCCUUAUACUGUCCUUGCCAAGCAGAAGGGCACUUCUUCCACUCCUAGUGCAUGCAGUCUAUGCUACCAAGCAUCCCUGGAAAGCCCCUGCUGGCAUUCAUCGCCAACAAACGGGUUGUAUCUUCAGCAGUCAGCUCUCUCAAGUACUCAGGGCCAAACACAGCAAUAACAGCCUUGCAAAACUUAUACAUAGACUCUAGGCAAGUAGACUCGCUCAUAUGGACGUACUCGUCAACGAGAUCACCGGGCACUCCGUAUGCAAGCAUUCGGAUGGCGGCAGUUCAUUUCUGAUUAGAGGAAAACCCUAUCUUGCCAACGGCAUCCUCUUUGCACUCGAAAUAGUCAUCAUAGCCGACCACCCCCUCUCUAAUACGAUUGAAAAGAUGCCUACUCAUACGGAAAACGGCGACGGAAUUUUUGUUAUUUGAACAACAGGGUUGUUGUUUCAAAGUAGUCCUUACAAAGAAGGAAAUGUCCGCUCUCUUGGUUGUGAUCCAACGCUGGAAGGUGGCCCGGAAUGGAGCCACGGAACAACGAUCGGUGGAUGUUGAGGUGGUGAUGGACCAACAUGACAGCCAAUAUCUCCUCCUCGUGAUCGGACGACGAAUCGUCGGAGUCGCAAAGGAAAUUGUAAAAAAAUAACUCGUCGACGAGUCCAUUUUGUACCUUGGCAAACUGCCGAACAGCUUGCUUGCGCACGGACCAGCUAGCUGCCCUUUGGCGUCCGACGAGUGGGCUGAUGUCCGAAGAGCGUGCUGGUGAGGAUAUGGCCGGGCGGCGAGGCGACUUCUUGGUCGGGGCGGGCUGUGUGGUGGGGGCGCGGGAGUGGGAAGCAGUCGGCUCCCCAGCGGCAAGACGGCGGUUGCGGGCGACAUGGAAGUGGGCGCCGUUGCUGGGCGAAUGAGGAGGCGCCGACAGCUGGUAGAGUCGCUGGCAAAAAUAGGCGGCGGCGUCGGUGAGGAAGGAGGCGGGUGAGGGUUGGAUGGGGGGAGGCCAAUGUGCCACCGACCAGCGGGCUCGGGGGAGGAGAAGGCGAGCGUGCGCGCGUCCGUCGCGUUUCCGCGUCGGUACAAAUCCGGCUCAAAAAUGUUUCGCCCGCGGACGAAAACUGGACGCGCCUCUGUUUGGGUCGGCGGGUUGGGUCGACUUUUGUGUCUGCGCCGACCUAAACGGACGGCGGCGAACGAAAUGGGUCGCCCCAUUGAAGUUGCUCUAAGGGAUUUGAUCGACAUUAAAGAAGAAAAAUUCACAUGGAAAAAGUUCACGAAUUUUCAAAAGACCGUGAAUUUCAAAAUGUUCACGAAUUCAGAAAAACAUGAAUUUGAAAUUUCUUCCCGAACAUUGGAAAAAAUCAUGAAUCUGCGAAAUGUUUACAAAACGAAAAAAAAAUAAGCAAGAACUUUCCUGAAAAACACCAAGGAAAAACGACCAUGUUAAAAAUGACGAAAGACCAUUCUUAAAACCGGUGGAAAAAAACAUGAAUGAUUGAGAAUUUUUCUUAAAGUUACAAUUUUUUCUUAUUUAAAUUUGUGAAAUAACCAAUUUACAGAUUUUUUUUAAACAAAUGAAAUCUCAGAGAUUUAACUUAUUCAAAAAUUUUGAACUUUUCUAAAAUUCACAAUCCUUUUUCUUUCAAGCUUUGAAAACAUGUGAUUUUCUAAUUUAUAUUUUUUUUCAAAAUUUGUAAUCUUUUUCCAAAUUCAUGAAAUUUUGUGAGCCCACAUUUUUUUUUGAAUUGCAUCUUUUUAGUUUUUGCGAUUUUUGUUGAAUUCAUGAACUUUCUGCAAAAGUCAACUAUAAAAUCUGGCGAGCGAGCAGUCGCGCAUGAGAGCAUGGAUCUAUCCUUGCUGGGCCUGCCGACGGGAGAUGACGCAUCAGUUUCCGAUGCGGUGUUUAGUGCGUCGAUCAGGAGCUCUAAAAAUUAUUGGCUGGGGCUUCUUUCUUUCUCUUAUCAUCGUUGUUGAAAAUGUUCUGAAACCUUCUUUCAUUCGUUUUUUCUCCGAUUUCUCUGAGGUUUUAUUGGUUUUCCAUCUUUAUUUUCCUUUUCCUUGUAUUUUUAACUUUCACUUUCUCCUUUUUAUUUGGGGACAUUUCUAAAUCAGAGAAUAUUUUUUACAAAAAUCAUUAAAUAUUUUAAAAUUCUUGAUUUCUUAGGUUUUUCAAAAUAAAAAUUACUUUUCAAAUUUCUUGAACAUGUUUUAAAAAUUUCAUGGUAGCCUGGUUUUGAAGAAAAAAAUAACUGGAAAAACCAGUCAACCAGCGUAUCCAACAUCCUGCUUUAGGAAACCGGACGAAUAAAAUAACAAGUAGCCCAAAAUAGUUAGCCUGCUGGUUAAAUUUGAGGUACUAAGCAUUUGGUCUUUUAGAGUUUAGUGCACGUGCAUUGCAACGAAAAAAGUAAAAUUUGCAUGCUUACAACAUAGUAGGGUGGAUUAAAAAAAUACUGAUAUUGUACUCCCUUCGAUCCAUAAUAAGUGUAGUAGUUUUGAACUAAAGAUCGAAGGGAGUAAUCUUAACAUUCAUAUUCAGUAGGUCUAUGCAUGAAACCACCAUCGCACUGCUGAAAAAGGACAUAUAUAUGAACCCCAUUUAACUGGCGUAGAGUAAUACAAAACCCAACAUUGGUAAUUUUAAAAUUUAUUAGUGCCGGAUGAAAAAUCCGGACCGUCAUUGCUAUUAGGUUAGUAGUGGCGAGCGCGAGUUUGCGUCUGCCACUGAUAAUACCGGUCCAAAUUGUCAUGGAGGAAAUGUUGCCAAUGACGGGCACAAAACUACGCCCACCACUAGUACUUGAGUUACCUCCGGCGGGCAGCAACACGUACCCGCCAUUGGUAUUUUUUGAUCUUGGAGCAAAUUUGUCUAAAAAUAUCAAUGACGGGCCGCAGUACAUGUGUGCCACUGGUAACUCAACCACCUAUGGCGGGCCUCAGACAUCACCCGCCACACAUAAAAUAGUAAAAUCCUAUUUAACCCUCUUGGCAGCAAAUAGUCGGGCAAACGCACAGGGAUGCGACAAACUGGGCCGGCCUAUCUCCUUUUGCAGGCAGUUCUGUUUUCUGCUUCAGUUUUUUCGUCCCUUUUUAUGUUUCGUUUUUUUCCUUUUUUUUUCAUUUUUCGGUUUUCUGCUUCAGUUUCUUUUAUUUCCUUUUUUUCUAUGGUUAUUUUUUAAUGUAAGUUUAUGUUCUAUAUUGUUUCUUGAAAUUCAGAAAAUGUUCUUGAUUUUAUAAAGAUGUUCUAAAUUUCAAAUAUUUGCUGUUUUCCAAAAAACACUCCUAGCUUCAAAAUGUUCAGGAUUUUAGAAAAAUGUCCGACAUUUUCAAAAAAUGUUCGCCAUUUUAAAAAAAAGUUUUUUCUUUCGAAAAAUGUUAUUGUUUCCUUUUUAAUUUUUUCCUUCACUUUUGUUCCAUUUCCCUUUUCCUAUUUUUCUGUUUGACAUUUGAUAAUUUUUGUUUUGAAUUCCAAAAAAUCUUCUCGUAUUCACACUUUAUAUUUAAAUGUCUGUGCUUCAAAAAAUGUUCCUGCUUCCAAAAUGGGUUCAUCUUUUGAAAAAUCUCGAGUUUCAAAAAUUGUUCUCGUAUUCAAAAAAAUGUUCCUAUUUUCAUAAAUUGUUCACAAUUUUUUAAAAUAUGUGCUUGCUUUUCACAUUUUUAUGAAAAAUGUUCCCGUGUUACGAAAAAUGUGUCUUCUUUUCCAAACUUUGUUCACAAAUUGAAAAUUGUUCAAAUUUUGUUCGCCAAUUCUAAAAUUAUUCAUGAUUUUAAAAUGUUCUUGAAGUUUAGAAAAUAUUCUUCAUUUUCUAAAAACUAUUUGUCCUAUCAAAAAAUGUACGUAAGUUCAAAAAACGUUCCUCUUUUGAAAAGUGUACAUAAGUUCAAAAAUUGUUCACCAAUUUCAGAAAUUGUUCUUUCUUACAAAAAUAAUAUUCGUUCUUAGAAAGAAAAUGAUCUUUGUUUGUAAAAUGCUCCUGUUUUGAAAUUUGUUUAUAGACUAAGAAAUUGUUUAUGUUUUCAAAAAUUCUGUGUAUUUAAAAAUUUGUUCGCGCUUCCGAAUUUGUUUAUUUUUUAAAAUUGUUAUAGAUUUCAUAUUUGUCCAAAAAAUUCAAAAAAGUGUUUGUUUUAAAAAAAAUGUUCGCUCUUUCAAAUUUGUUUGGGGUUUUACAAAAUUGUUCUCCUUUUUAAAAUUUUGUUCUCAAGAUUCAAGAAAUGGUCGUGUAUUUAAAAAAUAGUUCGCUCUUCAAAAUUAGUUCACGUUUUUUCAAUUGUUCUCAGUUACAAAAUUCCUUCUCAAAAUGCAAAAUAUGCUCGUGCUUUAAAAAUUUGUCCGCACUUUCAAAUUUGGUUGUUGUUUUUCAAACAUUUUCUCCUUUUCAAAAUUUUGUUCCUUAGAUUUAAAAACAAUUCGUGCUUUAAAAAAUUGUUCAAGCGUCCAAAUUUGUUCAUUUAAAAAAAAAUUGUACUCAGUUUCAAAGUUUGUUCUCAAAAUUCCAAGAAUGUUCGUGGUUUAAAAAUAUGUCCUCGCUUUCAAAUUUGUUCAGGAUUUUUCAAAAUUGUUCACCUUUUCCCAAAUUUUGUUCUCAAGAUUCAAAGAAUGUUCCUGCUUUGAAAAAUUGUUCACGCUUCCAAAUUUGUUCACGUUUCCUAAAAUUGUUUGCAGUUUCAAAAUUUAUUCUCAAAAUUUAAAAAAUGUUCGUGCUUAACAAUUUUUUUUGCGCGUUCAAAUUUGUUCAGGGUGCUUCAAAAUGGUUCUCGUUUUGAAAAUUUUGUUCUCAAGAUUUAAAAAAUAUUUGGGCUCUAAAAAAUUGAUCACACUUUCAAAUUUCUUCAUGAUUUUUCAAAAUUGUCAUGCAAAUUCGAAAAAUAUAGUUUCUUCAAAUAAAAAAGAAAAAACGAACGAAAAAAAAGAAAAUAAGUAGAGAAGAAAAAAGUAACAGAAAAAAAGUAAAACUGGGCCGGCCCAGUCCGGGCCCUCUGUGCGGUGCAGGGCUGCGUGCCGCAUUGAGCGGCAUGUAGGAGCUCCCCUACAAAUUUUGCCAUGGAUUAAUGUCAUUGGUCACGUCCAUCCAACUAUCUAAAGAAAAGGGGAAGGGAAAAAGAAAAAGAAAAUGAACCACCCACCGCACGUAUAGAGCCACACAUCUCUCUCUCUUAUAGGAUCUGCUGCAUUUAACAUUUGCCGGGCUUAUAGAGAGACGAUAGAGGAACGCCUCGCCUUAGGGAACGCGCUAAGUUCAGCCGACCAAUGUGCAUUAGUUCGCCAUAUAGUUUUUUUUAAAAUUUUGUUUAUAUUCUGAGACAUUCUAAAUACAUAUACUUCGGAAAGUAAUUUAGUUAUUGUACUUUGAAAUGCCAACACGGCGUAAAAUGUUGUUACUUCCUCCGUUUCAUAUUAAUUGACGCUCAAACAAAUGUAUCUAGCAUUGUAAUAUGUCUAGAUACAUUCAUUUGAUCGUCAAUUAAGAGACAGAUGGAGUAGCUUAGUUUUUUAAAAUAUUGCAUUACAAACAUUACAACAUUUAUAAAAUCACAUGUUUCCAAAGAAUGCACAUGUCAAUUAAAAAUAUAUAUACAAUGUAAGAAAAAAAACUGCUGUUAGAAAAGGUUUCAUACGAUCAAAAAAAUGUACAUUUCUUUUAAAAAAUGCUUACAAGUUAAAAAAAUAUGUUCGUGAAUUGGUUUUAAAACAUGUUCGCAUAGUUCUAAAUAUGUUUGUAUAAUUCAAAAAUUUGAAGGAUGUUUGGCACGUAUUCAUAAACAAUUACUUUGAUAAAUGUUAAUCCUGUAGUUCAGAAACAUUAAAUGUGUAUAAAAAUGUACAAGUGUAUGCCGAUAAACCAGCGGUUCAACAGUCUGCCUUGCAAAGGAGUAUGUCCCAGGAGUAGGGUCGUUGAUCUCAGAUUCCCACCUAUUUGGGGUGGGACUCAAGAUACUAUUUAUAAUCUUUGAGGUUUGUUCGACAUGUUCAGGUUUGGUCUUUUGCGGUUCACCAGAGUUUGAGAGAAAUGCUUGAAAGCACAAGAUGAAGUUAGAGAUGACAAUUCAUAUGUGUUUGAAGUGUUUCAGGUUAGAGAUGACAGUCAAGAUACUAUUCAAAAUCUUUGAGGUUUGUUCGACAUGUUCAGGUUUGGUCUUUUGUGGUUCGCUAGAGUUUGGGAGAAAUGCUCGAAAGCAAAAGAUGAAUUUAGAGAUGACAGUUCGUAUGUGUUUGAAGUGUUUGAUGUUAGAGAUGCUGUUGCUUUCAAAAAAAAAAAAAAAGAACCAAGCCCUCAACCUUUGUAUCAAUCGAUGCAUGCAACUAUAUUUAUUAAUUUAAGCAUAAAGUCUUAGAUCCGCAAAGAGCUCACAAACUGAGUGUAAAAACAAGUGCUGGGAACAGUUGAAAACUCACACAUCUGGUGAAAUCAAAAGUAAGCUACAAUGUCUAUACACUUAGCAUAUUAUUAAUUUAUCAUCUAAUCGACUGAAGAUAGCCUGUCCGGUCAUCUUUCAUCGGUUGCACCCAAUAGCCAUAUACUCUCUGGAGUCCGCAUGAUUAAAUAACGACCACGUACGAAUUUAAAUCGUGGUUCUGUAGAUAACCUGAAAAAAUAAUUGUGUAAUGACAGUUUUUCUAAAAUCAAAUUGUUUGGUCAAACGUUGAACGUGCAAUGUGAUGUGAUGCUCUCUAGAGUCUAGGCAGCUGGCUCGAUGCAUCCGUUAUUUAGCGUGGAAGAUAACAUUGUUUAAUCUUUCUUGAUUGAUCUUCUUCCCAAGAUAAAGCCGGGAAGAAGAUUCAUGCUGAAGCAAGCGAAUGCCAACUACAAGCAUUAAGGAUUUUAUAUAUACCCACCCAACUGAACCACCGCGCCGUACACGACGAGCACCGCGCCGGAUUUUAGUCCAAGCCUGGGCUCGAUCGAUGGCCGGAGACGAGGGCGAGGUGACGGUGCUGGGCCACUGGGGGAGCCCGUUCGUGACGCGGGUGCGGCUGGCGCUGCGGCUCAAGGGCGUGCGGUACGAGUACGUGGAGGAGGACCUGCGCAGCAAGAGCGACCUGCUCCUCCGCUGCAACCCCGUCCACCGCGCCGUGCCCGUCCUCAUCCACCGCGGCCGCCCCGUCUGCGAGUCCCAGGCCAUCCUCCAGUACGUCGACGAGGCCUUCGGACCUCCCACCCUCCUCCCCGCCGACCCGCACGAGCGCGCCGUGGCGAGGUUCUGGGCGGCAUACUUCGACGACGAGCUGGGCGCGCCGUGGGACAGGGCGCUCCGGGCAGGGACGGAGGAGGAGCGGGCGGCGUGGAUGAAGAAGGUGGUCGACGCGGCGGACGGGCUGGAGCGUGGGCUGGGGGAGUGCACCGACGGGGGCAGGAAAGGAUGCUUCUUCGGCGGUGAAAGCGUCGGGUACGUCGACGUCGUGGUGGGCGGCGCGGUCUCGUACGUGCACGCCGUAGCCAGGGUCUCCGGCGAGAGGCUAUUCCAGGAUGAAGGCAGGACGCCGCUGCUGGCGGCGUGGCUGCGGCGCUUCGGCGAGCUCGACGCCGCCGUGGAGCUGCUCCAGGACGUCGACCGGGUCGUCGAGUACGUCAGGUUCAUACACACCAAGAACGCUGCCAAGGCUACUGCGAAUUAACUAGGGCUCGAUUUUAGACUCGUUGGAUCUGUACCAAUCAUGCAUACCAACCUUUCUUUCACCGUGGAAGAUCCAACACAAUUCAGAUCUCAAUAGUCGUGUCAGUCACAAGGUGAUAUUUACUCCCUCCAUCCCAAAAUUGUUAUUUUAGGUUUGUCUAGAAAUGAAUGUAUCAAAAUACUAAAACGUGAUUAAAUACAUUUAUAUUCAAACAAAUCUAAGACAAUUUUUUUUAAACGGAGGGAGUAUUUUACUAGCAGGCGGAGUCAUGAAGCGCGUGUGUGAUUGUGUUGUUUUCCUUAUAAAGUAAAAAAAAAGAUAUGAAUAAGUGAGCUGACAGUUUACAGUGUGAAAGUCAAUUUAACUAAGAUAAGUAUAUAAAGGUAUCAAAAAACAGUUCACUCAUGGGUAUAGUCACUUACCUAUAUAUCUUAAAUGUUUCAACCAAAGUUGUUCCUACUAUGAUAUAGAAAAAUGUCCAUUUUGAACUCUAAAUUUAUAGAGAUUGGCGAAAUGAACCUUUAAUUCAAAAUCCCUAUCGAUUACACCUUAAACUAUGCAAUCCCGGUUUAAAAAGAACCCUGGGUUCGUCGGGAUUGGGCUGCGCUGCGCGGGCACGCGCGAAAAUGACUGAGCCAGCCCAAUCAAGCCUAUCUCGCUCUCGGACUUCACAAUAUUUACGGAAAUAAAAAAAUGAGAAAACAAAUUCACCAAUUUUGAAGAAAUAAUCAUGGAUUUAGAAAUGACAAGUACUAUUUUGAAAUGCCACGUACUAUUUUUAUAAUAUUUAAAUAUAUUUCGAAAUGUCACGUACUAUUUUAAUAGUAUUUAAAUAAAUUUUGAAAUGCCAUGUACUAGUUUUAUAAUAUUUAAAUAUGUUUUGAAAUGCCACGUACUGUUUUUUUAAUAUUUAAAUAUAUUUUGAAAUGCCACGUACUAUUUUUAUAAUAUCUAACUAUAUUUUAAAAUGCCACGUACUAUCUUUAUAAUAUUUCAAUUUAUUCUGAAAUGCAACAUAAUAUUUUUAUUAUAUUUAAAUAAAUUUUAAGAUGGCAUGUACUAUUUUAAUAAUACUUAAAUAGAUUUUGAAAUGCCGCACGGAAAAUUACACACGCUCUAUUUUUCUUAAGAGAAAUGUUUUUGCUGCAGCACUACUACUUGUCUGAAUAUUCCAUAGCUAGUGAAAAUAUUGUACGUGCUAACCUGAAAAAUCACAUUUGCUGGUCAAUAUAGAGCUGCUGACUUUAGCUCCAGCUGUUGCAGCUGCCCAGCGUAUUGUUUUUCUUUUUCUUUUUCUUUUACUCUUUUUUUUAUAAAAAAAAUUCAUUUUAUUUUAUAUAUAUAUUUUCAUUUUUUUAAAGGGCAGCCUUUUUUAUUAACUUAUUUCGCCUUUAUGAACGUUUUGUAUUCAUUUUUUUGUUUUUAAGUUUUUUAGACCACACGACAGACUUUUUUGGCAGUCUAACUAAAAAAAUAAAAUGGGCCGACCCAACGCACUACUUGGCCCAUUAGCCAGCCGAAUCCCGGUUGACAUUUUAUUUUUGUGUCUCAGGGUCCGAUUUAGACCGGAAUCAUGUAGUUUAGGGAGCAAACGACAAAGAUUUAGACUUGAUGGUUUGAUUCGCCAAACUUCUAUGAAUUCAGGGUUUAAAAUAAGCUUUUUCCUAUGAUAUAUAGCCAAGGGUUGUUCAACCAAAAGUUGUACGAGAUGAAGUUUCCUUCAAACCGGAGGAAAAUUGUUCUAGUAUACAUUUUAAAGAUAAUACCCCAACCUUCAACAGAUGAAAAUUUGUAUUAGUGAUCGAAGCAAGAUACAGAGAAAGGAAAAAACACAAGAAAAGUGAAUUAACAAAAAUGCCAUUCUUUCUUGUAAUGCAUACAAAUUUUAGUUCACAAGACAGUAAAAGAUGAAUGAAACCUUUGGUAUCACAGUGCAUUGACGAUAUUUUAAUAGACUGCAUUUUGAGUAAGAUUUGUUGCAUCGCAUAACCCUUUGCCGUGAUAAAUUCCGUGCAUAAGUAACAAAAUUAGAGGUGCAUUAUCAAUCAAAAUCAAGCAUAAUUCUAAGAUUCUAAAUAGACUCUCUUUGAUUUGCGUAUUCUAUGUUGUCCUCGAGAAAAAAUUGCGAUGUAUCGCAUCAUAAUUAACCUAACUUUAUAAAAGGAAAAAAUCCAAAAUAAAUCUUGAACUUGUAGACAAAACCUAAACCAUACCCUGAACUUCGAAUCCCUGAAAUUAUCACACUGAACUCACUGAUCCUGGUCUAUUUUANNNNNNNNNNNNNNNNNNNNNNNNNNNNNNNNNNNNNNNNNNNNNNNNNNNNNNNNNNNNNNNNNNNNNNNNNNNNNNNNNNNNNNNNNNNNNNNNNNNNUUGAUGUUGUGCACCACCUCCUUGCUGGUGGUGACCGGGAAUCCCUGGUCUGAGACCAUGACACCGGUGGCGUACCUGGACGUGGUGUUGAACGCGGCCCAGUCGGCGAGCCCGCCGACGAGGCUCGCCACGAUUGCGACGAACCUGCCGGCGUCGCUGGGGGCCACGGAGUCGUCGCUGGCUCCCUUGGACUGCCCCUGCCGGUUGUCCGGGCUGGUGAGGAAGUCCCGGAAGGAGUAGCGGACGGUGCAGCGGUCGUAGAAGAUGGAGACGUCCUUGACGCCCAUGCACCUGCCGAAUGCGACAUCCGGCGCGAGGGCGAGGCAGGAGGACGCGCACUCUGUGCCGUUGGUGGCGUCGCCCCGGCAGAGGCCAAGCCCCCGACACCGUGUCGGUGUUGGCGCCGACGACCGCCGUUGCGAACAGCGAGCGGGAGGCGUUGGCGGCGAGGGACGCGAGGAGGGUGCGGACGUUGGACUGGUAGGUGCUGUUCUCGGGGUAGUACGUGCCGUUGUUGCACUCCCACGGUCACGAGCUCCGCCCUGGCGCCGGCGGACGGCGUUACCAAGGUGCAAACGUGAUGAUAGCAGUAGCAGGAGGACGGAGG